GGGCUUCGGCUGUGGUGCAUCUCACCGGAGGGCUACAAGUCAGGGGAGGCUGCUGUGAAGCUCAGAGGGCUCGACCGUCCUUUAUAUAGCCUACUCGAGGCGCCUCACCGACGCUUGCAGAUAAGCUCGCCGGCGACAGCUUCUGUCAACUACUGUUCACCAACUGGGCGAAGCAGGGCGACGACAGGGGAUAAGCAGGGCAGCAAGCACAAGACGCAGGGGAGAGGGUCCAGGGAGUGGUGGCGCUCGGGAGGUGCUCGGGCGGCGCCGACUACUGCAGGGGUCGGAAGAUGCCAUGACCGUCGCGCUGCCGUAGUACUGCUCGCGCAUAGGGGCGGCUACUAACAGUCGAGGGGAAGAGUUGAUGCAGCUCUACGUGCAGAGCAGAGGGCGAGGGCGCAUGGACGCAGCGGCUCGGCACGCGCGCAUGCAAAACAUGCGCUCUGGGUGAGCCUAGAGCAUGCACGCAAGGUGCUCGACACAAUGCCAAUGUACCCAAAAUAGUAUCAAUGCUUGUGAAACUACACAGGACUACGGUAGGG
rnacentral:lncRNA from 1 species